rnacentral:rRNA from 1 species
GUCCACGCCGUAAACGGUGGGCACUAGGUGUGGGGUCUUUCAACGGAUUCCGUGCCGAAGCUAACGCAUUAAGUGCCCCGCCUGGGGAGUACGGCCGCAAGGCUAAAACUCAAAGGAAUUGACGGGGGCCCGCACAAGCAGCGGAGCAUGUUGCUUAAUUCGAGGCAACGCGAAGAACCUUACCUAGGUUUGACAUGUACGGAAAAGCCAUAGAGAUAUGGUGUCCUUCGGGCCGUACACAGGUGGUGCAUGGCUGUCGU